rnacentral:lncRNA from 1 species
UGUGCAAAGAAUAAAAAAACAAAUUUUAGCCUUUAAAUAAAUCAAAUAACAUCAGUUUCUUGGACUGAACAAUUUUCACUUCUAGGACAGGCACAAAGUUCGCUUAUGGCAAAAACAACCCCACAGCGCAUCCUCCCUCCUCCCUCCGGUAGCUGGUGGAGGGUUCGCAGCGGGCUGGCCCGCAGGAGAGGCUGUGCUGAAGCUGUGUCCUCCCCAAGUCAGUUGCAAAUGUCUUCCCCAGGGGUUGGAAAGAUGGUCAAGUCCUGUUCAUGCUUGGGCGGGAGUCUGGCCCAGCCUGGGCCAGAGCGCUCACCCAUCACCACCCUUAAAUAACACCAUCUUAGCUCCGAAAAUAAAAUUAUAUCUAUAUUUAUAUAACAUCCCCCCAUCCUCCCCAGCAGCCCUCCCCUCCCGCAGUACCCGGGGUCUAUGUUACAGACAAGGGAUAUCAAGCUCCCGCUGGUGAAGGGCGAACAUCUGAUGGGGCGCGGCCACACUCCCGCGCCAAUCUCGCCCCCGGGGAUCAGAGGCGGGGGUGGGGUGAAAAUGGGGCGAGGGGAGUCGAACAGACACACAGCCACACACUCUGAGGCCCGGCUCUUCAGAAAAGCAUGCUCAGGGGACCCUUGGCACUCAGUGGGGAGCCCAGGCCUGUGCAACACAGCUGGACGCACACAGACACUGGGAUGGGGGCGCCCGGUGCCCACGCCAAGUCCUGGCGCAAGCCAGAGGCGUCAGCAGACAGAUGCCAGGCAGGCCGGUGGGGUCCUUGUGGGACACGGGUCUCCCCUUCUCCGGGCUCGCGGGGGACUGGUCCAGGAGGGGGAGCCGUGCCGGCAGGGGCAGGCGCGACGGGCGCGGCCCUCAUAGCACCUUGCAGCAGUUGAUGCAGCCGUUCUGGGAGCCGUAGCGCUUCUGCAGCGCGGCGCGCGUGGCCGUCUCGAAGACCUCGCGCACGCCUUCCUUGGUCUUGGCAGAGCACUCGAGGUAGUCGUAGGCUUGGAUGCGCACGGCCAUGGCGCGGCCGUCAUCCGUGCGCACGGGUUCCUGCUUCAUGCGGAUGGCCGCCAUGAGCGGGCCGGGCCCGGGCAGCAGGAGGGGGCCCGCGAACGCCUCGCUGCCCUCCCGCUCGCCGCUCACUGCUCACCUCGGGCUGCGCGCAGGUGGCGAGAGGGUCGCUAGCUGCACCCGGGCCCCGCGGUGGCGCGUUCUCUCGCUGCGCUUCGGCUGCCGCGGCGGGGGCGGUGGGGGCGCGGGGGCAUAGGGCGCACCGUGCGUCUCGCCGCGCUGCUCCCGGGCGGUGGUCGCUCUGCUCACCCCAGGCCGGGGAUCGGCGGCUUUGUGCGUAACGCGGGCUCGGGCAGCAGACUCGGGCGGUGGACUCGGCCUAGCUCUCUCCCGGGUCUCUCCGGGCCUCGCUGAGCAUACAAGACAACAGCUCCAACCAGACUGCGGUGGCAGAU